ensembl:lncRNA
AGUGGGUCGAUCAGCUGAAAGAGUGAGCCUGGGCUGCCACAGUAUUCCAGAUACAGCCUAGACUGCAUAUCUAACAAGAGAGCUGAGACUUCACCCUAACCCUCUAGAGACAUGUUUGAGAGUCCCAGACAUAACACAUGGGACUUUCAAUCAAACACACUUUGAUGUUAAUAGCGCCAGUGCCCUUGCAUUAUUCUAGAGAUCAGAUUGUUUGAGCUGAAAAAUAGACAUAGACUUUUUUCUACGCAUUGUCAUGGGACUCAUAGCACUUUGCAUCUGUCUUUCUUUGAUACUUUGAUGAAUCUGUGAUUUCAGUAGUUGUGGGUACCCCCUCCACCAGUACAGAUUACAAUCCCUUCUUAUCUAGUGUGAUAUUGGUCUCUGGUUUUUUCCCAUAAAUCCUUCAUGGGGGAUCCCCAGCAUACCAUAGAGCUUACUCGAUUUUUCUUUUAAUAUCUCAGGGCUACACUGGUAGUUUGUAGACACUUUAUCUGCAGAACCAAUCCAUCUCUUUUUACAGCCAAACACAUCCUCACUGUUGCUUCUAACACGUUGGGCUUCAUUUAUCAUACGGAGCCUCUCUAGAUUGGGUUUACGUUGCCCUUUGGAUUACUUAAAAAAAAAAAAAAAAAAAAAAGAACUCACAAAGAAUACAAUUAUACACAACUGGAUUAUCUUCUUAUUGUUUGUGCUUAAUAAGAACUUGAUAAAGUUGCCCUUUGGAUUACUUAAAAAAAAAAAAAAGAACUAGCAAAGAAUACAAUUAUACACAACUGUAUUAUCUUCUUAGUUUCUGUGCUGCUAUAGCUCUUGGAUAGUAUUCUUUUAUCAAGUUUUAUCAAGUGUGCUUAAUAAAAACUUGAUAAAAGAAUACUUCUGUGCUAGUGGCUAAGAAUAGAAAGAUAAAAUCUAGACAGCCCCUUUUCUUCAGGAGCUUGUGUUCUUUUAAGGGAGACAAUGUAUACAUAAACAGGUAUAUUUAGAAACAAUACCAAAUAAAUGGCAGGUAAUUAAAUAGAACAUCAUUAGUGUAGGAGGGCGUUUGAACUGUUUGGAUGAUAUCUACCCCAUCAGGGACCAAGGCUUAUUUCCCUUUGUAUAACAGCUGACAUUUAUUUUGUGUCUUAAAGUUGGCAAAGCCAUUUUCUAUAUGUUCUCUCAUUUGAUUCUCACAAUAGCCCUAGGAAGUAGGGACUAAUGUUUUUCCCAUUUUCCAGUUGAGGUGACCAAGAUCGAGACGGGUUCUAUGACUUAGUCAGGGUCACACGGCUAGCGUCCCUCAAGGUUUUCUGACUCCAGGUCCGACCCUCAAUCUGCUGUGGCACCCCUGUUGCCCUUUGUAUCCCAUGCCAGUGCCUAGCACGAUGCUUUGGGCACGGUAGGUGCUUCAGAAAUGGUUAUUGAAUGAAUAAAAGGAUGAAAGGAUUGUGACUUUGGGUAACGGGAAUGGUCCCCAUUAUUGAGUGUCAGUCUAUUACCCAUUAAACAAUGUGUCCUUUAAAGCAAGUUAACAUUUGAGCAUUCUUCCCCAGAAUAUUCCAGCCUAUUUGCCAACUGAGAAGAGAGCUGUUGAAUC